rnacentral:tRNA from 2 species
GUGAGUGUAGCUCAGUUGGUUAGAGCACUAGGUUGUGGUCCUAGGGGUCGCGGGUUCGAAUCCCGUCACUCACCC